UGGGGAAUUUUGGACAAUGGGGGGAAACCCUGAUCCAGCCAUCCCGCGUGUGCGAUGAAGGCCUUCGGGUUGUAAAGCACUUUUGGCAGGAAAGAAACGUCGCGGGUUAAUACCCCGCGGAACUGACGGUACCUGCAGAAUAAGCACCGGCUAACUACGUGCCAGCAGCCGCGGUAAUACGUAGGGUGCAAGCGUUAAUCGGAAUUACUGGGCGUAAAGCGUGCGCAGGCGGUUCGGAAAGAAAGAUGUGAAACCCCCAGAGCUUAACUUUGGAAACUGCAUUUUUAACUACCGGGCUAGAGUGUGUCAGAGGGAGGUGGAAUUCCGCGUGUAGCAGUGAAAUGCGUAGAUAUGCGGAGGAACACCGAUGGCGAAGGCAGCCUCCUGGGAUAACACUGACGCUCAUGCACGAAAGCGUGGGGAGCAAACAGGAUUAGAUACCCUGGUAGUCCACGCCCUAAACGAUGUCAACUAGCUGUUGGGGUCUUCGGACCUUGGUAGCGCAGCUAACGCGUGAAGUUGACCGCCUGGGGAGUACGGUCGCAAGAUU
rnacentral:rRNA from 1 species